CCAGACUCUACGGGAGGCAGCAGUCGGGCAUAUUGCUCAAUGGGGGAAACCCUUCCGCAGCAACGCCUCGUGGAGGAUGCAGGUUUUCGGAUUGUCCCCUCCUUUUGUUAUCUCAGAUAAUGCCGGUCUCUAACGCCUCCUCACCGGCUCCCUCCUUGCCAGCCUCCUCUGUAAUACUUCGUUUGCAAGCGUUCCUCGGAAUCACUGGGCGUAAAGAGCGCGUAGGCGGGAGAGCAAGUCAGAGGUGAAAUCCUAGGGCGGAACCAUAGAACUGCAUUUGAAACUGUUAUUCUAGAGUAUGGGAGAGGGAGGUGGAAUUCUGGGUGUAGGGGUAAAAUCCGUAGAGAGAAAGAGGAAUACGCAUUGCGAAGGCGACCUGCUAGAACAUAACUGACGCUGAUGCGCGAAAGCGUGGGGAGCAAACAGGAUUAGAUACCCGGGUAU
rnacentral:rRNA from 1 species